UUGACCUCGAAUCAGGUAGGAAUCUUUGAACGCACAUUGCGCCCCUU
rnacentral:rRNA from 1 species